GAAUGAACGCUGGCGGCAUGCCUUACACAUGCAAGUCGAACGGCAGCAUGACCUAGCUUGCUAGGUUGAUGGCGAGUGGCGAACGGGUGAGUAAUGCAUCGGAACGUGCCUUUUAGUGGGGGAUAACGUAGCGAAAGUUACGCUAAUACCGCAUAUUCUCUGAGGAGGAAAGCAGGGGACCUUCGGGCCUUGCGCUAGAAGAGCGGCCGAUGUCGGAUUAGCUAGUUGGUGAGGUAAAGGCUCACCAAGGCAACGAUCCGUAGCGGGUCUGAGAGGAUGAUCCGCCACACUGGGACUGAGACACGGCCCAGACUCCUACGGGAGGCAGCAGUGGGGAAUUUUGGACAAUGGGCGCAAGCCUGAUCCAGCCAUGCCGCGUGAGUGAAGAAGGCCUUCGGGUUGUAAAGCUCUUUCGGCUGGGAAGAAAUCGCACCCUCUAAUACAGGGUGUGGAUGACGGUACCAGCAUAAGAAGCACCGGCUAACUACGUG
rnacentral:rRNA from 1 species